CCGGUGGUGUCCUGGAGGGUUGCAGCCCUCAGGCUGCCACGGAGCCCAUUCACGUUCCUUUUUUUUGCCACCUUCCCUCGUUGGAGGUGGCCGUGGGUGGAAUUCCGGAGCCGUCGCCUCCGCGGUAGCCCGGGGAGCCCGAGUGCAGCGUACCUUGGCGGGCGGUUUUGGCCGAAGGGCCUCCACUGCUCCCUGGCGCGGCGCCGAGGUAUCAGGCUGUGGUGUGCAGCUGAGGGUGUCAGAGCAUUGCUGGGGGCUGUUACCCAGCUGUUAGAUGGCUGUGGAGUCAUCUCUAAAACGUCAUAUUCCAUCUGUUUGGUGUCCAGCUUCUUUCCAGAGCAUUUCACUUGACAUUCAUAAGGGUGAAAAUGGAAGACCUGAUUUUUCUUCAAGCCCUUGAGAAAAUCAAAAGCCCCUAUGCAUGAAGGUCUAGCAGCAGUUUGAUCCCCCUGUGAAUGGUGGAAAACUCCAACUCAAAGAUACUUUGUUGUGGUGCUGGCAGGGAUGAUACUCAUUUUAAAGUCUGAAGAAUCACAACCCAAACAAUCAUAUGAGAAGAAGAAUGAUUGUUUUUGAACAAAAUGACUCUGCUUUGGAUCUCCUGGUCAGUUCCAUUGUAAACUGUUACAAUAUGUGCUAUUUACUUUUAGGGUUAAUACAGCACAAAAGUUUAAAGCAUUGAAACGUAAUUACAUGGGUUUAAGUUCUGUGGAGAAAAAAAUUAUCUCCUCCAGUUUGUAAACAAAACUUUGACUUUAAGAACAAACAGGCAAACAGCCAUAUUUGGAGACUGAGCAUUGAGCAUGAGGUUACUUCUGGUUUCUU